rnacentral:rRNA from 1 species
GAUGAACGCUGGCGGCGUGCCUAACACAUGCAAGUCGAGCGGCAGGGCGGGGUGCUUGCACCCUGUCGGCGAGCGGCGAACGGCUGAGUAACGCGUAGGAAUUUGCCCCAAAGUGAGGAAUUACUGUCCGAAAGGGGAGCUCAUGCCCGAAUUGGUCUUCGGACUGAAGGAUUUAUCCGCUUUGGGAGAAGCCUGUGUUGGAUUAGGUUGUUGGUAGGGUGAUGGCCCACCAUGCUGACGAUCCAUAGCUGGACUGAGAGGAUGAUCAGCCAGACUGGAACUGAGACACGGUCCAGACUCGUACGGGAGGCAGCAGUGAGGAAUCUUGCACAAUGGGCGAAAGCCUGAUGGUGCAAGGCCGCGUGAAGUAUGAAGGCCUUGAGGUUGUAAACUUCAUUUAUGUGUGAAGGUUAUGACGGUAACUCAUGAAUAAGCACCGGCUAACUACGUG